CAUGAAGUCGGAGUUGCUAGUAACCGCAUAUCAGCACGAUGUGGUGAAUACGUUCUCGGGCCUUGUACACACCGCCCGUCACGUCAUGAAAGUCGGCAACACCUGAAGUCGAUGGGCUAACCCUGGAUUUAUCUGGGGGGGCAGUCGCCGAGGGUGGGGCCGGUGAUUGGGACGAAGUCGUAACAAGGUAGCCGUAGCGGAAGCUGCGGCUGGAUCACCUCCUUUCUAGGGAG
rnacentral:rRNA from 1 species